rnacentral:sRNA from 1 species
AUGGACCACCCGUACACUGCGGUUCUGAGUGCGCUGUCCGCACCCACCUGACGACUGCUCGCGACGUUGUGUUCGCC